rnacentral:rRNA from 1 species
ACCCGCUGAACUUAAGCAUAUCAAUAAGCGGAGGAAAAGAAACCAACAGGGAUUGCCUCAGUAACGGCGAGUGAAGCGGCAACAGCUCAAAUUUGAAAUCUGGCCGUGCUGCGGUCCGAGUUGUAAUUUGGAGAGGAUGCUUCGGGUGCGGCGCCGGUCUAAGUUCCUUGGAACAGGACGUCACAGAGGGUGAGAAUCCCGUACGUGACCGGUGGCCCAGCCCGUGUGAAGCUCCUUCGACGAGUCGAGUUGUUUGGGAAUGCAGCUCUAAAUGGGUGGUAAAUUUCAUCUAAAGCUAAAUACCGGCCAGAGACCGAUAGCGCACAAGUAGAGUGAUCGAAAGAUGAGAAGCACUUUGGAAAGAGAGUUAAAAAGUACGUGAAAUUGUUGAAAGGGAAGCGCUUGCAACCAGACUUGCUCGCGGGUGAUCAGCCGUCCUUCUGGGCGGUGCACUCGCCCGUGAUCAGGCCAGCAUCGGUCUGGGCGGUUGGAUAAAGGCCCCGGGAAUGUGUCUCCCCCCGGGGAGUGUUACAGCCCGGGGUGCGAUGCGGCCAGCCCGGACCGAGGACCGCGCUUCGGCUAGGAUGCUGGCGUAAUGGCCGUAAGCGACCCGUCUUGAAACACGGACCAAGGAGUCUAACAUCUAUGCGAGUGUUUGGGUGUCAAACCCACACGCGUAAUGAAAGUGAACGGAGGUGGGACCCCUCAAGGGUGCACCAUCGACCGAUCCUGAAGUCUUCGGAUGGAUUUGAGUAAGAGCAUAGCUGUUGGGACCCGAAAGAUGGUGAACUAUGCCUGAAUAGGGUGAAGCCAGAGGAAACUCUGGUGGAGGCUCGCAGCGGUUCUGACGUGCAAAUCGAUCGUCAAAUUUGGGUAUAGGGGCGAAAGACUAAUCGAACCAUCUAGUAGCUGGUUCCUGCCGAAGUUUCCCUCAGGAUA